GUCGGUAAUGACGCCCGACGAUCGGUCGGUCGGUUGGUCGGUCGGUCGGGUAUGCCCGACUAUGAGUCGGUAUGAGCGGGGUCGGUCGGUAAUCCCCAACAGUUGCCCCCCUCCACUCCUUAGUCGAACGGUGCGCUGGCCGAUGUCUUCGUUUGGGCAGUAACGCCGGGCGAAAAGGAGUGGAUUCACUGUGUGCCAAGUUCCAACCGUACCGGGGGUCGAUAUGAUGUCUGGCGUCUCAUAAAUGCCGAGCGAUUCGCUGGCGUCAGAUGUCCAGUCGGUGUCAGAUGUCCCGUCCCGUCGGAAUCAGACGUCCUGUCGGCGCCAGGUGUCAUGUCAGCGUCGUACGACCUGCAGGUGUCGGAUGUCCCACCGGUGUCAGACGUCCUGUCGGUGUGGACUUUUUUUUGCAGGCACUCGUUCCCGACGACCAGGCGACGAGGGGAUUGGCCCCAACAGAUUGGCGCGCCAGGUAGGGGGACCUCCCUUAAUAGUCCACACCGACAGGACGUCUGACACCGGCGGGACAUCCGACACCUGCAGGACGUUGUGGCAGGCUGUGGGGAGACCUCUCUUAAUAGUCCCACAUCGGACAACUCUGAUGUGUGCAUGUGCUUAAGUAGUGCGGGCUCCUUCUUGCCCCGUGAGGCGCCUUUUGCCCAGAGGGGUUGAGAGGACAAAACCGUGACCUGUCGAUCGCGUGCGGCCCGUACGGGCGGCGCCGUCGGGGAAAGCGGACAAUACCUUGCGAGCGGUGGAGAGGAGAAGGUACCGUAACCUUAACACGUGUGCACAACAGUGGCGCGCCAGGAAGGGGGCACCCGCCCNNNNNNNNNNNNNNNNNNNNNNNNNNNNNNNNNNNNNNNNNNNNNNNNNNNNNNNNNNNNNNNNNNNNNNNNNNNNNNNNNNNNNNNNNNNNNNNNNNNNNNNNNNNNNNNNNNNNNNNNNNNNNNNNNNNNNNNNNNNNNNNNNNNNNNNNNNNNNNNNNNNNNNNNNNNNNNNNNNNNNNNNNNNNNNNNNNNNNNNNNNNNNNNNNNNNNNNNNNNNNNNNNNNNNNNNNNNNNNNNNNNNNNNNNNNNNNNNNNNNNNNNNNNNNNNNNNNNNNNNNNNNNNNNNNNNNNNNNNNNNNNNNNNNNNNNNNNNNNNNNNNNNNNNNNNNNNNNNNNNNNNNNNNNNNNNNNNNNNNNNNNNNNNNNNNNNNNNNNNNNNNNNNNNNNNNNNNNNNNNNNNNNNNNNNNNNNNNNNNNNNNNNNNNNNNNNNNNNNNNNNNNNNNNNNNNNNNNNNNNNNNNNNNNNNNNNNNNNNNNNNNNNNNNNNNNNNNNNNNNNNNNNNNNNNNNNNNNNNNNNNNNNNNNNNNNNNNNNNNNNNNNNNNNNNNNNNNNNNNNNNNNNNNNNNNNNNNNNNNNNNNNNNNNNNNNNNNNNNNNNNNNNNNNNNNNNNNNNNNNNNNCGGACAAUACCUUGCGAGCGGUGGAGAGGAGAAGGUACCGUAACCUUAACACGUGUGCACAACAGUGGCGCGCCAGGAAGGGGGCACCCGCCCCCUGUCCACACAUGCACCCUCCAGAGUGGGGGGCAUGUUGUGGCAGGCUGUGGGGGGACCUCCCUUAAUAGUCCCACAUCGAACAACUCUGGUGUGUGCAUGUGCUUAAGUAGUGCGGGCUCCCUCUUGCCCCGUGAGGCGCCUUUUGCCCAUAGGGGUUGAGAGGACAAAAUCGUGACCUGUCGAUCGCGUGCGGCCCGUACGGGCGGCGCCGUUGGAAAAAGUGGACAAUACCUUGCGAGCGGUGGAGAGGAGAAGAUACCGUAAUCUUAACACGUAUGCACAACAUGAACCAUAAAACAUCAUGUAUUAAUUAUCAUGGACAUAAGUUGUUGAUGCCACUCCUCAAAGUUUUGACACAUGAACCAGAGAAGACACGGAGUUUUUUUCCUUCUUUUCCCCAUAAUCUGAACGGUGCAGAAAUUUCUUAGUUUGUCCAAACAAAAUAUUUGAAAUCUCUUUUUAGCUUUUUUUUUUUCUUUUGUUUUUUUUGCACGUACAAAAUGUUUUUUAAGGGUUGGUCAUGCAGAGAAGAAUAAUUAAUUGAUGCUUGACGUGAAAAUUAACAGCUCUCUAGUUUGAUGGAUGACCUCCAUUCGUAUUGGAGCAAUAUCAAGUGCCCCAGCAACAAUGGAAUAGGUAACUGGAAGAGCACAUGGAAGACGUAUGGGGUGUGCUCCGGCAUGAACGAGACUGCUUACUUCGAAACCGCGCUCCAGCUCAGGACCAGGGUGGACCCACUCUACCUCCUAAACAAGAAUGGUAAUUUUUUAGUGCAAAUUUGAUCCGAGAAACAUUAAUCUAUAAGAGUCGUGUUAAGGUGACAGACGAGUUCGAUUUAAUUCAUGUUGCAUGCUGAUAUGGUGUUCUUAUGCAACAUAUUCAAAAUCUUUUUUUUUUUUCAAAAAAAUGAUUCUUUUUUGUAUCUGCGUGCAUUCUAAAAGAAUUACAUUUCCAAAUUAUAAGUCAUUUCUCUUUAAACAAACAUGAAUUCUUUUCCACUUUAGAGAGGAAAAUGCCUGCCAAUGACCUCUUUGUAUGGAAAAAGAAGGAAAAAGGAAGAGAAGAAAAAGCUAUUCACCCUCUCUAGAGUCCUUAAAUCUAGUCAAAGAAUUCAAUUAAAGCCAAAUGAUGGCUCAUCAAAACGUUCCAAAAUACAAAACUGUAUCUUUCGAGCCUAUUUGGAUAUUUUUAGAGGAUUAGGCUGCGAAUUCCCUGGUAUUGGGUCUGUUGGCUCACCUAUCUUACAUUUUUUAAGAGCCUGUCCAAACCCAAUCUAAAUAUUAAUCUUUGGGCUGAAAGAAGAAAAAAAGACUUGUGAAGAUUUUUUUUUUAAUAUUUCCAUAGUAGUUAAGCUAGGUGAUAUUUGAUUGAUACAAGACCAUGUUUAAAUGGACGACCCAAUCCAUAAGCUCUAUAAGAUUUCCGACCUGACCAUAUAGGAAUAUCCAAACAAGACUUAAAUUGGAAUUUUCAUAGGAUAGAAUGGCCAGGAUUCCUGAGCAGUUUAAGAUGUCAAAAAACAGGACCUUAUCCACUCAUCCAGUAAUCAAGAAUUCUUAGUACACAAUUUAAAUGAAUAAAAAAAAAAAAAUACUUGGGACUUAUACAGUAUAUAUUUGUUUUAAAUUACUGGAUUCAGGUAUCCUGCAGUCAUCCUGGAAGCUAUAUGACAUCAGCGAUAUCGAGAGCGCCAUCGCAGAGGGGAUCAAAGCAACUCCGGUGCUUCGCUGCAGCAAGGGACCAUGGGGCUACUUCCAGCUCUACGAGAUCUACAUUUGCGUCGACAAGGAUGGCAAGUCGAUCAUCGAAUGCCCUGUCAAGCCACGGUUCACAUGCUACCGCAAAGUUCUUUUCUAUCCAUUUGACAAUGAACAGCCCCACAACAUCUCCACUGCUAAUCCCAUUCAGAUGCCAAUCUCUGUGGAAUGAUUAGAAGAUGUGAUUUUAGAGGAGCAGCACCCUUUCGGUACUCUUUCUUUUCCUUUCCACUUUGGUUCAGAGUUUGUUUGAUCCAUGGUGUACUUCCCUUUGGAAUAAAUAAAGCCCCCAGUUUAUCUUCAGGUUAUGGCUAAUUUUCCUCGGUGGAUUCGCUUCAUCUAUCCAUGACCAAUGAUGGAACAUAGUAGAUAUAAAACGUGGUGCUUUCAACUCUAAUGCACGUAAAUAAAUAAAUGAUCGGGAUUAUACACUUACAUAUGUGUUGUCAAUGAUGCACUGUUUUGGGUUCACGAAAUGAUGCUCUUUAUAAUUAGUAAAAGGCUAGAGUACACCAGCUUCAGCUUCUUGAUUGGCCUAAUCCCAGUGUGACACACUCAUGUACCCCACCCCACCCUAUAGAUGUUGCACCCCUUACUGGACAGGUAGCAGCAUUCUUAUAAUUAAUUAGUAAAGCUCGCUGUAAUCACAAGGAAGAACGUUGGAGGAUGUCCAGGAUGAUGGAUGGUUUUUGUUCAGUUAGUAUGCAGUUUUGGUUCAUCGUGGACGACUAACUGAAGACUUCUCCACUAAUCAUUAUGCUGAAGGGCAUCCGUGGACCAAAAACAAUGAUGAAACUUUCAGUGCUCUUAUCCCUGUAGAUUAUAGGGACGGUCUCUGACGUGAAAAAAAGUGGGCAUGUUCCAGUUCUCAAAGUUCCUAGAUUUGAUAAGUGCCAGAGCUACAAUAUUUUCAAGUUUCAUGAUGAUCAAGAAGACGAAGUGAUGGCUGUUGCCGAUGAAUUGUGUUGUGUUCUUCCUUGCACUAGUGUAAGAACAGCUAAAGGCAAGAUAUACAAUGCUCGACAACACUUUCUUGGAAGAAAGCACUUAACGACAUCUUAUAUCUUGCCUUCAGCAUGGUAAGAUUUUUUCUCAUGCUGCUUUUCUAUACGUGAAUCCCAUGCAAUCUUAAAAUUACUGAUGCUCAAUGCUUCUUGUAUCACUUGUUUGGCAAAUAAAUAUGCGUUAAUGCAUUGGAGUUUUCCCUUCCUCAUCCAAAGUGGUGUGACUUUUCUCUCUCCUUUAGAGGCUUAAUGCAUCCCAAACUCAACAAUUGCACAAUUGGUUGCUUUAUUUGUUCACCGUCAUGCGUUUUACUCCCACAUCGUUGUACUGUUCUACGAGAUACAUUGUCCAGUCAUCCACCAUUUGCUUAAAAGUCCAUGAUAUUUGGCUCAGAACAAAACGAGCAAUGGAUUUGAAAAGCUUGCAUUUAUGAACAGUCAUAUCAUCUUCCGAUCAGGAUUGAGCAAUAUCACUUUCCAAGAAGCGCUUUCUGCCUCUAAGUGGCCUACAAAAUCAUUAAUCUAAACUUGCUAAAGGCAUGAUACUGGAAAAGUAUAAAACAUGGCUUCGCAUUUUGGUCAAAUCAGAGACUACAUGAAGAGAAGCAGACUUCACUUCUUCACAUGCAAUCAACUAUGACAAUGCUUGCGUCUCUGAUAAAUCUUGUGUUUCUGAUAAUACUUGCAUUUCAGGCAAUGCUUGUGAUUCCUGCAAUGCUUGCAUCUCCUUUGGUAUGUCAAUGGCAGCUUUUAAUUUUUUGGGCCUUCCUCUGGACCGUACAGGGGUGACAUCCACCGUUGCAUCCAACGAUGAAACUGGCUCCAAAUCUGAAGCACCUUCAUCAACGGUUGGCAUGUCCCUCACAUGAGUAAGAAGCUUGCUCAUAUGCCACUGUGCAUAAUCAAAACGAUCUUUUGUUAAUGAUGAUUCUUGUAUUAUGAUUGAAGCAAGCGAACGCAGAGCUUGGGACCGAUACUUAUAACCGCUACUCUUAGGAAACAAUGAGCUUUCACGACGCCAUCGAAUCAACAGAUAUUUUUCUGGAAGCAUGAAACAGUUCUUCAACGAAAGCACUCGAAGAGAGUGUCGGCACAUUAUUCCAGAAAACUCGAACUCUUUGCAGCUGCAGUGUAUCUCUUCGUUUGCUGGAAUGCAGCUCACCAGGUGUCCUCCAUCAGUCUUCAAGUGGUGGCGAACGAGAUAAGUGUCUCUUUGGGUUUCGUAAACUGCAAAUUGUGUAGAUGACACAAGCUCUCUUUGAAACAUUUCAAAUGCAUAAGGUGUCAGAACACUUGAUGCGUGUUCUUCAACGGGCAUGCAUGUUUUGAUUUGGACAUUUUGAUAGUUUUGUCGCAUUGUUGCUUCCUCCCCUGCUUGAUUUUGUAAAUCAAUUGCAACCAUUACCUUCAAAGAAACAAGGAAAAAAGAAAAUGAAAAUAUUUCGAGAAGGGGCAAAAAAACAUGAGAAAGAAGUUUGCUAAUUUCAAAAUCAGCAGGAAAAAGGAUACCUGUUCAACAAAAUCCUUAAGACGUGUUUGUGAGACCAAAAACCCUUUAAAGAAUGCCUUGAUUGACAACGAAAAACCAGUGGUCAGUAAUCCCCCAAAAAGCCAGCCUCGGAGAAAUGGUAAUGCCCAAUAUUCCCGAUGAUAUGAAAGUAUAGCUAUAUGUCUAUCUGAGCCCAGUCCAAACUCAUUAAUCAUCUGACCCCACUGGUGCACAAAAUCAUUCUCGCUCUCCAGAUUAUAUACUCCAUGAAACUCGGACACAAACCUCUCAUAUUGAGAACCAAGUAAUGUAGAAAACCAGCUUGGUAACUUAGACAUGAUAUGCCAUGUAGAGAAUGCUUGCUUCGUGUCUGGCAGCACGUUCAUUAUAGCUUCUCUAAGUCCCAUGUCUAGAUCUGUAACCAUUGUCUGCGGGACCUUCUCAUCCAUAAGAUGAACAAAUGCCUAUAAGAAAAGAGCAGGAAAAAUAUCAGUUGAAUUAAAAAACCGACAUGACAUUGGUGAAUUAAGGUUGUCAACUUCUUUCACUUCUCUACAGGGUCAAAAAAGAGGGAGAAGGAUAAAGAAUACUUGAAAUUUACAUCGAUAAAGUAUAGUAGACAAACCUGCAAUGCCCAUGCAAAUGAUGCUGGCUUUUCGUCUUGCAGUAGAACACAACCAAAAAAUAUGGUGUUUCCAUAGUUGUCAACACCAAACCACACUCCAAAUGGCCUGUCAUAUGCAUACAAACGAUAUGUUGUGUCAAAUACCACAACAUCUCCAAACACCUUAUAUGCCCGAAUAGAGUCAGGAUAUGACCAAGCAAUAUGCUCAAGCUUAUCAUUCAUGUCCAGUGUAAAUUCAUAACGAAAAUCUGGGCUUUUCUCUUUAAUAGCCUUGCAAGCUUUAACAAGUUCUGCUCCCUCAUUUUCUCGAUUGAUGUUCUUGGAGGCCUGAAGGAAAUUUCUCAGAUCCCUCUCUGUGAAUGUCAACUGACCAGGUUUCAGUCCCUUCUCCAUUUCAAGAGCCCUCAUUAUAAGAUUCACAGUGAAACCUGCCUUUGCAAAAAAUAAGAUACGCUCACGGUCAACCGAUGAAAUAUUCCGAUAAGCAGGUAGAUGUCGUACUUCAUCACUAUCCAACAAUUCAUGGUUAUGCACAUUACUGAAAUGAACAACAACCCACCGAGUUACACCCUUCGAGACAUUCUUCUUAAUAAUCAUCUGCGCCUCACAUUUGCAACGUGAUGAUUUCUUAUUCCUCUGCCGUUUGAGUUCGGCUGUCUUCCUGGGCAGAGAUACACCGGCACGAUGACACACAAGCUCCCGUUUAUAAACUCCCAAUGGAUGAGCUGGGUUCCCCUUGGAGCGCUCUCGCCGUAUUGCAAAACCAUUCCUCCGUGCAAAGUUGGUAUAAAAUUCUUGGGCCUCAUCAUCAGUUCGAAAAGAUUGCCCUACAUAUGGAGGGGUGUCAGCUGAAGCAACCUCAGAAGAAGUAUGGGCUGCUGCAUUGAUAAGGUUUGGAUCCGCAGGCACCAUAGGUUCCACUGAUGUGUCUUCUUCAUCUCCCUCAAUUCUAAUAUAACAUUGUUCAUCCCCACAUGGGCACUGCCGCCUUUGAGUGAGGCAACCAUUGUUUCUUGAUGAAGUUUUGGUCAUUCUUGAUUCUUUCUGCCCAACAAUGAGCUAACGUACUGGCAGUUGCACUAAAACCCAGGAAAAAUUAAUAAAAAAAGGAAGAAGAAUAAGAAGCAGUACAACAUAACUUGAAUGCAAUGCAGGAGGAGCUGAAUCGAGUGCAAUAGGAACAAAGUUAUAGCUUCCAAAAUCAAGACAUCAUAAACAUUCACAAGACUUUUUUUGGCAGAUGCUAAUGACAAAAUGAGAAGCGCAAACAAGUUAUACUCUUAAUAUUCAAAUUCUAAUUGCCUUUAAUCGCUGUCCAAAUUCUCGAUCUGACAUCUCUGUUUUUAUUCUCUUCUCGCUGUUACUACAGAGGGUGCAAGUUCUACGCUCACACUCUAAUGAUGACUUGUGUAAUAUUCUAACUCGAGACCCUUUAGAUGGUGAACAGCCCUGAACAAAGGCUGGUCAGCUAGCUGUAAAUAUUAUUUCUUUCAACAAUAAAUUGCCUCCCUUCCACUCAAAAAAAAAAAAAAAAAUAAUGGCUGUUAUUCAGUUUAUAUACACAAACUAUACCCAUCAAACGGGAAGGAUAUGGAACAUCACCAGCACAUCAGGAACCAUCAAUUUUGUGAAGAAUCGAACACCAGAAGCACUAAAUUCGAAUUAGAACAAUUAUCCAGAUCGCACUUUUGGCUGGCAAAAGGAACUAGCAAAACCCUAAGUCCGGUUGAAUCGACCAAAAAAUUUCUCCCUUUUUCUCUCACCUCAGAUGAAUGUCAUUCUCCAUAAUUAUCGGAGAAAACUUGUAGAAAAUCUAAAUUUUGAUAAGGUCAGUCAAUCCAUUAAAAGAAAAACAUUCCGAGAGCAACUGGAGAACGAAAUUAGAUGAAAAGGAUACAGAAAAGGAACAUCUAAAGAUCAAUCCUUCAACCAGCAUCGGGUAUGAUAAUAAUCUAAUCAAUUUCAGAGGGUCAGGAUCAGGAUUAUACCUGAGAGAGACGUCGGAAAGAGCAUAAAAGUGAGAGACGGAAGGGAUGAAAGGUUACGGUUAGGGUUAGGGUUAGAGGUGGAGAUUUAGGCUUGUGAGAGGGGAGGGACCGUAGGGGAAGAGUCUCCGGCGGCGAAUCGGGGAGACGCAAUCGCCACCACCGGCCUCUUGAUAUUCCAACCCCCUUCGAUCCAGGCAGAUCCCCUCGGCGCGCGAAACGGGGGCUACGAGUGGGAAGGAAGGGGAGUCAAGGAAAGGGGGUGGGAAUAUCUAACGCCGCGGUUUAGGGACGGCACGGUUCGAGGAAAGGACGACAUCCACAGGUGGACCCCUCCAGAGUUCAUUGAUCAGAUGGGUAGAUUUCUAACAGAAAUAAUAAUGACAACUAAUGCAGAUUAACACCAAAACGGGAUGUUAUAUUUGUUUGAAGGUGGCCCGCACGACAAACGAUCAGGCCCAGCUUGAGUCUCGACUCAUCUGCUAUGCUCUAAUUUUCAUAGAUUUGGUCAGGUCCAAUUUUAUGGUAUCCGCAUGGCCUAAUUUUGAUGUCGAAGUCUCUAAUUUGUCUAAAUUUUGGUAUGUAAAUUGAGUUAAGAAAAUAAAGAUCUAGAUUUACUGCACCAAUCAGUACCAUACCAUGCAGAAUCAAUAAAAUUUUAUAUCAUACUAACACUCGAUACAUCUUAUCAUCUCAUAUCAUUCUAUAUACCAAUACUAUAUAAUAGAAUGAUGCCACAAAACCAACGAAUCUAGGUUAAAACACCAUAUAUAUUUAGAAAUGAAUCAAAGCCCAGCCAUGUGCAUUUUCAAAAAUGUAUCUACUCAAACAACCUGCACCCUGAGGUCUGAUUCAAGCACCGAUCGACCAAGAUUGGAAAAAACAAUGGUUGAAUGGGUCUACGUUUGCCCCAAGCUUGGAUGGAGGAUCACAACAAUCAUGGUGGAAGGAUCCUUUUGCACAAAUUAGACUUAGUUGGAUCUGGCCUAUAGCCGGCCAGAAAAGGCAUGUAGAUCAAGAAUAAAUCCGCAUACUUCGGACCCAAAACAAGACAACCGUCCACUCUUAAGCCUCGUCAGAACCGAACCGGGCUUCAAGAACACACGGAUCUAGCUUGAUACUUCAAUUGCUUUCCCCUCGACAGUUCCUAGACUUUGCUCUGUAGUCAAGUUAUAAUGACCAAACAUUAAGAUUGAUAAUCUACAACAGAAAUAUCGACAUUGAUGGAAAAAUUUAAAUACCGUACCUAUGCUAAAAGAAAUUUAAAAAAGCUAAAUAAAUGGUUUUUCAGCAUUAUGACAGACGAUACAUUAGUCUACUUUGAUUUUCCAAAACUAUCAGGAUAAAUACAUGCACAGAAAAUUUGGUGUGGCACCCCUGCUCUUCGUGUCAAUGUUUCCGCAAAAGAGGGAGCGAGAGCGAGAGUCAGCGAUAAAAUACACCACUUGGAAGAGUGCCGGCAAAAGUUCCGCAUGCUUAACGCAGCAAAACUGCAGUAAUUUCAUUUUCCUGUAGGAAUAAUUCUCCAACGAGCAGCCUGAUAAUUAUAGCUUAUGCACCUCAUCCAUGAAAUACACAGGCCAAUCCCACCAGCUUUGGUGCCAGUGAUCCGAAAAAUUAUAUAUUCAAUCCAAGCAUUGCCACAACUACGUCCUAAGAAAAUGGCCUAGAGUAAUGACGAAUGCAUUAUCCCUGAGUAAGGAAAUCAGAUUUCAGAGUAUCACGUAUUUUUUCAUCUUGGAAGACCAAAUUAAAUAAUACAGAGUUUAUGCCAAAAUUUUUAAUUGAAUAGCAACACAAGUCACGUAAAAAUAGUCGUCCAUAUGAAGUGCUGAGUACAACCAGACAAAUACCAUCAACCCACUGCUUAAAGAAUAUUAUCCUUCGAGCUGUCAGACCGCUGAACCUGCGGUCAUAAAAAGCUCCAAGCUACUGUACCUCACCAUGGCCAAAUCGCUGAUGGAAUGAUGAAGGUGAAGACCCCCUUUCAUCAUUUUCCCAAUGAUUAAUAAUAAUACAAUUUUCGAACAGACUAAUGAGUGUAAUACAAAGAGCUAUUCGAGAUGUUAGUCUCAAAUCAACUACAUAACUCUACAGCAAUGUGCCGACAAAAGUCCCUGAGUGGCGCUCUUGCAAAACCAUUCCCGUUCCCCAGUGAUUCUCUUCCCUGUGCGCAGCAGGAUUCCACCGGUGCAACUCUUGCUGUGUAUCUAUCAAGCCCCUCUAAUUCCAGUACGUGUUAGCCAAAGAGAGCAUGCUAUACUAUUAAAUGGUCAGGUCCUUGAAGGCAUGCAAUUUCCCAUUCAACGAGUGAGAGUCUUCGUUUUUAGCUUCUUGAUAGGCCAGAACUCCAUUUUCUGGUGCAUUCUGUACAUUGUCAUUUACAGAAUAAGCAACAGCUGAGCUCCUGCAGCCUCCAAAAUAUGUUGAGUAUGGAAAAUAUUCUGCACAUCGUGCUUUCCAUCCUACAGCAGGAAAAAAAUAAUAAUAAUGCAAAAGAUAGAUAGAUAUUCUGUACCUUGUAAAUGUAUUCACAAUCAAACUCCUAUAAUGCUAAAUAUAUUGCAGCAUGAAUGUACAAUACUUAAUGAACUUCAUGCAUCAAGGCACUCACUGGAAGCAGCAUCUUUAUCAAUAAAUACUGUCUCAAGCAAUUUGUGGACUGCAAUACAUUCAUCAAGUAUCCAUUCCCUGACUGGUCCCAGCACCCCAUCUCUGCUAACAAGAAUUCAAGGAUCAUUUCAUUUUUGCUUCAAAAUUUGCAGAAUGUAAUGCUGAUUGUUGAAUGUAUGAUUAUUGACAAUUUGGGAGAACUUUACACUGGUGCCAGUUUGUUUGUAGAAUCUUCAAUUAGCUUAAUUGCCUCAAGCUUCUUUUCCGGCUCCAGAACAAGAAGCAUUUCUGCAGCUGCAGCUCUAUGCAUCAAAGAAUCUGUGUCCAUAUAAAUUGGAUCAAUACCACCAUGGGAUUAUAAUCUAAGAAACCACAUACAGUGCAAGAACAAAACCUUUGUGCUUCUCAAGGAAAGACCGGUUAACUUCAAUAAGUGACUUCCCAUGCAACUGACUGCAAAAGAAAAGAACUAGAACACUCACUAAAACUCCAAACAAGAAUGCAAAUUUGCAACAACAAAGGGGCAUGCAGUGGUAACCUUAUGUCCGGUUGUUCUGAUUCUAAGACACUCCAAAUUAGUUUCUCUGUGUCAGUUCUUGGGGAAGGAAAACUGCUGACUUUAUGAAAGAAUCUUAUCUGUGAAAAAUCAUUUCCAGAUAUGUCAUGGAAAUAAUAAGAGAACUUUAAAAGCUUUAGGCAUACUAAAACUUAUGCUAGAACUUUUGGGGUCACAUACCAAACACCGGUGGCAAUCAGGAUCAUUCUCAUCCAACUUAAGCAGCUUCUUGACAGCCUGAAAAUAUACAAAAAUUAAGACAAAAAAUUUAGUUAUAUGUUAGCACAAAGUAAGGCAUCGGUUGAUAGAAGAUACGACAAGUACACGCAAGUCUUAGCAUGUUUGAUACAACAGGAGACAUGAUUGAUUGAACUCAAGUUCAAUAAACCAAUGAACCUGAUUCAGGGUUUGCCUCUGUUUUUCCUCAUUUCUUGGUCAGAAUUUGCAAACAUCAAAGAUUACAGCCGAGCCGAGAUAUCUCAGCUGUUGACAUCUGAAUUUUGCCCUUUCCAUCAAAUUGACUCAGUAGAUAGAUAACUCAGGUACCAUUAAUCAAUUGUACAACAGAUGUGGCAUACUUAUGUUCUUCUCUUAGUUCAUUUCAACAGGCAUUAAGGAAAAAUCUGAAACAAUCUAAAUACAACUAAAUGCAUUUCCAAGCAUCUGGAAAAUGCAUAAAUAUCAAGGUCUAAAGAGAUUUGGAAUGAGAAUUCAUGCAUACAUAAAUAUCUUGAAGAACAUGUAUCAAGGAAUGAGAGUACAACAUUUGCUGCUGAAUAUAGAGUUACCUGAAAAGCAAGUAAAAUCCUUUGCUUUCUCAUGUUUAGCUCGAAAGAAAGAAUAUGUGUUUCCAAUGAGCUUGCAGAGUUACUCUGGAGCAACUUCAAAUACUUUGUAGCUUCCAAUAAUGGAUCCUCAACCUGCCUUGCAAAAUUAUGUAUCAAGACACUUAUUCAGAUGAUAACUGUGUGGUGCCAACCACUUGAAAUUUUCUUAACAUUAUAAUUUGAAUACAAACCGCCUCACCUACUGUAAAAGAAAAAAAAAAUUAUAUACAAAAUUCAGAAUUAACCACUCGCUGGCUACUGGUCCAGUGGUGUAAGACAUUCAAUGCGGCAGAGAUGGUUUAUAUUUUCAAAUCCACACCAAAGAGGAAGGAGCAGGCUUUUCAUCAUGAAUAAUAAACCAUAGAACACAGAUUAACCAAAAAUCCAAAUUAAACUGUUACCUGCAAUAACUUUUCCCCAUGAGGAUCUAAAUCAACAGGUCUGGCAUGUUGUCGCUUUCCAGACUUUGAUGAGCCAGAAGUCGUUUCCUCCUCAGUUUUUUCUUCAGCCUCCUGAAAGAUAUCAAGGAUAUUAUAAUGGAAAACAUCUAAAUCUUGAGAUUUCUAAGAAAUUUCUGAGACAAAAAGAGUGGGAACAUUACUUUCUUUGCACGAGCUUCAGCUUUUUUUUGUUUUUGUCUCAGUUUCUUCCUUUGUGAAGGAGGCAACUUUGACAUUUCAUCACCCUCUUCUGUUGUUGCUUUUAUUGGAGAAUCAUGCAACUUCAUGUAGCAUCUACACUUGCAUAAGUAAUAUAUAAUUAAUCACAUUUUCUAAAAGUUGAAUAAAAAGAACAAAUCUACACACACACACACACACACACACAAAAAAGGAAAAAACAACAACAACAACAACAUUACAACAUAAGCAAGGAGCAGUAGCUUCCAGUAUCAUAUAGCAUAAUUAAUGACUCCAAUGAGCAACAGCAUGUCUCCUACAUUCAGCAUUUGCUUCCAUGGAGAACAAACUAGGAAUAUUUUCAAGUAACCUCCUAAAUAUAUUGAACAGAAAAAUCAUACCCCCUAUUCAUUUUUAAUCCAGAUUUUAGCACAUCAUACAUUUUAGAAAACAAACUACGUACCAAGAACCAAAACACCUUAUAGAAGGAAAAUAUAAGAAAUAAGACUAGAUGCUUGCAAAAUGGAAAGAAAAUAAGAAUGUGAAACCCGACCAAAACUUCAUUAAAGACAUUAGCCGUAGCAAGACAACAUGUGGCUAAAACAUACAAGGACACACACAAAGCCACCCGCCCCCCCCCACCAACAAAAAAAAAAGGCAGUUGACAUGAAGAGAGAAAAAUAACAUACAAGUAAAUUUAAUUUCAAGCAAGCAGAACUGAUAACCAGCAACUGUUAGCUCAGCUGGUUGGCACCUUCCUCAGCAAGUGAGAGGUCUCAGGUUCAAACCGGAGCAGUGAUGAAUAACCACCAUAUUCUUAAAAAGAAAAAAGGAAGCAUAUAGAACUAAUUAAGAUACCAGCACAUAGCAUAACUAAAUCAGAUUGCAGUUAUAGAUUAAUGAGAUGGCAAUGAGACAGAUUACCAAAAAUUUCAUCGCUAACAAUCAAGAUUACAGCAAACAGGAAAGUUAAGGCAUUAGAACGUGCGUCUUAGCAGUAUCAAGAGUUUGGUUAAAUAAAUAACUAAAUUAUACUAAAUGGCAGCUUCACCUGAUAGCUCCUGCUGCGGCUUUACGAAAGUAUUCAUGUGAAUGCAACUUAUCUUGAAACUUCAGCAUUGACACAUAGGCACGCAGGGUCAUUUUACGUAGACAGUAAGAAUGGAAAUCAAAUUGAUCCUCAGUCAUGUCUGCAUAGUGCUUCUCAACAGCCAAGAACAUUUUCAGAGCGCGCCCAAGAUCACCUUGACGGAAGUAACUCUCACCAGAAGCAAGUUCAUACCUUCCCGCAAUACAUGAAUCACAUAAGAAUGACAUAAAGAAAACUAAAACUUGGCAAAUAAAGCAACAACAACGCACCACAUGCAUUGCAUGUCAUGCAGGUUAUUGUGCUGAUCUCCAUCCUUUGUAAAUAACACAGCUGUCUUCUCUGCUAACCCAACCUUAAUCAACAAAAGACUUACAAGAAAAUUUAGUUUCACAUAAGAAAGAAAAGAACCGUACAACAUAGUAGGCAGGAGAUCUUUGGUUUCGGAUCUUUCAACAUACCUGAUCAGCUUGAAGCAUGCGCAUGACACAUUCACUGUUUAAGUAACGGUCAGCAAGAUCCAUGGACCUAGCUUCAUCUGCCAAAGCAGCAGCAGCAGCUAAAUCACCUGCAUGUUCUAAUAUUCUUCCCUGUGAUCAAAAGGAUAGUAUGUUAAUGUAGAAGAUGAUCAAUUUGCUAUUUCAAAGCAAAAAGCAUAACAUAAUUUUACUUUUUAUAUAAGCACAUGACAGAGGACGAUACAUAAUACUUGUUAUAUAAGCACAUGACAAAGGACGUUACCAUCUAGUAGUAUAUCAUGAGUGCUAAACUUCCAAACCAUGAUCCUGAUUUCUCAAGAUUGUUGAAAUUAAACACUCCAUGAUCAAUAAGAAUCAAAACAUAGAAAGGCUUAUAAAGUAGCUCAGAUGAAUGCAGAUGAGCUGAAGCUGCUGAACUAUGAUGUCAAAGAGAACGUAUAAGAUGCCAAUUGAAUUUUAACUUUAAAAAAAAAAAAGAAAAAAAAGAGAGAGAGAGAGAUCAAUUAGAACUUAAGAUUUAGUUCUGCAGCAAGAACUCCCUGUUUUUAUCAGACUAGUAGCUUGGGACAUGUUUUACAUGCAGGUCGAGGAGCAUGUGAAAAUAUAAAUCCAAUCAAAGUUUAAAUAACUAAUCAACAUUCUACAAUUUUGUAAUAUUAUUUUGUUAUUGUAUAUGACUGAUUUUGGGGGGGGAAAUGCUAUUGCAAUGGUCAUCAUUAGCUAUCACAUAAUGUAAUGAUCAUGGUGAUGAAAUACCAAUUAAACUAAAAUUGUUUCUUAGAUUCUCAAUAUGCAUAUAACAUUGCAGGAUAUCUCCAAACUAUAAGAAUCUUUAUACCAUGAAAGUUAUAACUACCUACAAGCAAGAGGCACCAACCAUAUCAUUAAUUGCUCCAUGCUAGCCCCACCAUCAGUUAUUUAUAUCCAACACAACAGAAGGAUGUGCAGCCAAUAUAUUCAUGUACAUCUAAAACACUUUUUAAAAUUAACCACACAAUUAUGACAUAAAAAUAAACUCAUGAACAGUGUUAUAAAGUGAUAACCUGGUUUGCAAGGAUAAAACAAAAAACUUUCUUGUUCUAAUUAAAAAUGUUUUGAGCAUGCACAAGUUUAAAGUAAAAACCAUUGCAACAUUUUCUGCCGCCUCCUGUUCAUUUACAAAUCAGACAUUUAAAAAAUGCUAAUUAUGUGGCUAUCAUCAACACUAUGAGUUAUUAGGCAUAGUAAGGAAUCAUUAUCUUUUUUUUAAUUUUGUAGAAUUACUAAUAAUAGCCAUUAAAGCUGUCAAAUAUUUUGUUUUAAAAUAAACUGCACAUUUUUGUUAAUGUAAAAAAGAAUUAACAAUGAUUGUUACGGUAAUUGCUUUUGAGGAUUUAUACUUCGCGUUUAUUAGUAUUAUUGAAACCUUAUAUCACACUGGCAGAGGCAGUAAUGCUCUUGUGCAAUGAUUGUGACAAGAGAAAGAGGUUUUCAUAAAUUGAUUAUCUUGGUCAUUUGAGAUACAAGCAAGAUCCAUGCAGUAGCAUGAAGAGGUGUGCACUCGAUUACACAGUGCCCUCCAAACUGCUGGGACAUCUCAUUAGGACUCCACAGGCUACAGUUCGCAGCGACACUUGUGCAAGACAGUCUUCCUAGUCAUAUAUGUGCAAGCCGCAAUGAUGGGUCAACAGUGAUAGGGCCUUUCAGCAAGGUUCUCAUGAUGGCAUUAUUCCAGUUCAAGAACGGUUCUGGUAGAGGUAAAAAUUUACAAAUCUGCCGAACGUCCACCAAUUCAUCACAAAUUUAGAGAGAUUUUGGAUAACAAAACAAAAAGGAAUAAAAUAGCUUGCAAGUUUCUUAAUAGAGGUAAAAAAAAAAGGAAAUCUGCAAAACUUCGGCAAAAUUCAUCACAAAUGCUUAUGGAAUCUAACACUAGUACUCAUUUUUAAAUAAUGCGGAGUGAAUACAAGGUUUUUUGCCAGUAUAACAACACCACCAACUGCCUAAAGGAGAAGGUAAAAGCAUGGACAAAGAAAUUGCCACCUAUCAAGUUCUGCAGAACAUGUAGAAGAUAUGCAAGACUUCCAAGGAGUGAUUAUUAUUCAAACAGGAACAUUUGAAUUUCUUAUCAGUGCAGAUAGAUAGAGUCAUUGUUUUAAUAUGAUAUACGCAUUGUGCAGGAUUUAGAACAGAAAUAUAACCAAUCACUGGAAUAGAUUUAACUAAAUAAAGAUACUUGCUCGUUGUAAUAAAUACACUGUUCAUUCAGAAGAUACUGCAAAAUAAUAGACGGUCAAGAAUGACAGGUAAGCUUGACAAAGAUUGAUGACUCAAAAAUAGAGAGAACAGACCUUAACAGAAUAUAAAUCAAUCACAGUUGGAGUGUGUUCGAUAGCCUCGUCAAUUUUAGCUAGUGCAAUAUCCUGUUGGCCCCGCCUGUCAUAAUGCUGCACCAACACAAUGGCCCAUAGCAUAAAAGCACGUACGACAUAGUUUGUAGUAAAAUUAUAGUUAAAAGACAGUAACAAAAGCCAAACCUGAGAAACCAAAAACAAAGUCCACAUUAGUGUUGAAGGAGGCUCCUUUUGUGUCCUAACAUUAGAAUAAGAAUUAGAUUUUUUUUUCUCUAGAAAGUCUGGUCUUAAUUAGAAUAUUUUUGCCAAUUUAAAUUUUAAGCAUCUUGCAGUAUAAACAUAUGCAACAUAAAAGAAUUGGCAGAGACUAAGCAGUGAUUUCUAAGACAAUAGUAAAUGGACCAUAGUUAUCAAGAAACUUCUUGGGCUCGAUGGUCAAUUAGAAUCCAAUUUAAGAACAGAACACAGAAUGCUGAUUUAGUAUCUACACUACUGGUUGGCAUAAAUGUCAUCACAACAGAACCAUUCAAAUGACUCUUAUCAACCACACCUCAACAGGUUUUGUUAACAACAAAUAAUCCAUCAGGAAAUUUUUUAAUUUUUUUUCUCACCAUUUUGGCAAAUAUCAUGGUCCCCAUCCUCUCUUUUUCUGAAGCCUUCCAACCAAGUACGACUUACCAUAUGUAAAUUGGUCGGCUCUACCAUAUCAUUUGUUGCACAUAACCAAAAAUUUUGCUAGUCCUAAAUUAUGCUGCUACUGGCACAUCUUAACAUGCAUUUCCUAGAUUUGUUACAUAACAAAUGAUCUAUGGACAUCUAUAAUCUAUAAUUAUUCCGGGCAAAUUUUUAAAGCAAUAUUGCUGAGGUUGCAAUAUGUGAUAUAAAUGGAAUCUGAAAGGAUGUUGAACUACUUGUGAGCUGCAUCCCAACGCAUCUGACUGCAUUAACAGCCUCAUCAAUUAUAAAAUUCAACCAAAUUUUGCGGUUUCUUCCUCUCAAAUUUUAAGGCAUAUCUUUUCAUUGGAAAAGAUGACAUUCAAAUACAUGCAACAAACUCAUACUGACUCUCUUGGCAUGUUAGAAAGACAGAUCUCUUAGACCUAUCAUACAACAGUAUAGGUAACUACUUAUGAGUAAAAGAUUUCAACAGUCAACAGCUCAUUCAAUCUCAACAUUUGUUACUAUUUUGAUCGAAUAAGAUGAUACCUUCAAGGGUCCAAACUAAAUCAAAUCAACAUGAUAUAAUUCCACCAAACAAUUCACAGAUCAGAAGUUAAUUUAAAUGUAAGUUCACGAUGAUUUCAAUAACACCUUGACAUAACAGCAGUCCCAAGAUUACCUUCCAGGAAAGCAUCCUGUCUUUUUAAUUGAAUCUUCCAGCUGAAGAAAUAACUGUUCAAGAAUGCAUGCCUGACAAGGAGACGAAGAACUUCAUCAUACCCUAAGCUUUCCUUUGUACAAUCUACAAUUCUGGAAAAAAAAUGUUUUCAAUACUUUAUGCUGCAUGACAAACAACUCAGCAAACCUUUCCAGGGUGGUCAUAUAGUGGGCUAAGAUCAGAGAAUAAUGAAGGAACACCCUGAAUGAGUACAGAAGAAAAUGCCUGUGUCAGCUAUAAUCGUUUACAAUAUGCACAAUAGAAAGAUAGUGAACUGAUGAGAAAUACACAAAUAAAAAAGAAACAUAAUCCAGUACAAAUUAGUGCAUGCAAUUAAAAUAAAUUUAUGAGAGCAAAAUGCCUACUACCUUAGUUAGUAGAGGCCUUAUAUAGAAGUCUGCUGCCUCCCGAAAUUCGUCACCUUCUAAAAAAUCCAGUGGUAUUCGCUGAGCCACAAAAAAAACAAAAGAGGACUCACUACAUAUUGUGGUAAUCAUGAGUAGAAUAUUGCCCAGAUUGAAAGACAGGAAUGAUAUGGAAAACUGCAGUACAGAUUAAAGGAACAGGCAACUGUUACUCGAGAUGAGGGGCUCACCUGGCUGGUUUAAGAAACUGCAGAAAAUGACAGAAUAUGAAAACAAGACCUCGUUAUCCUAAUGCUAAGCAUUAAUUACUUUGCUUGUAAUACUCAUGCAUACAUUGCGCUUACAAAACUCACAAUUAUUGGCCUAUAAUUUAAAUUCUAGAAUAUCACUAAGACACUAACAGUGGUAACAUGCACAAAGUAUCAAAUUACCACAACCACAUUCCUACAUGUUCUAACACAUCCCCAAAUGUGAGGGGCAUUUGUCAGAUUGAAUUCAAUUUUUCUAUGUACAAUUUAUCAUUUUUCUAUACUAUUAGUAAGUUAGAAACAAUUACCUAAAGAUAUCACAGAUCAAAGUUAACAUAGCCAUUCUUUGAAUCAAGAUUUUUAAUCUAGUAGUAUUCUAUUACAUACUUCAACAAGGAAUACCUUGAGCUUUUCCUUUUGAUUAGAAUAUCCUGUGUGACUCUCACUCACUUCAAAUGAAAUAAGUUGACAACUAAAGAAUGUGCUUUAAAUAGGUUGUUGCUUUGAUUGAAUAUGUGAUCCAAAAAUUUUGAUCUGAAAUCAUAGUUUACAAUCAGCAACCAUGAUACGUAGUCAGAAUACAAUAAAUAGGGUAGAACUCUCCAGUAUAAACAAAAGAGAUCUUCUGAAGUAAUACCGGUAUGAUUAAAAAUACCAUAAACAGUACACAAAAUAGGACCAGGAUCCGGGACUGAAGAUAAUGAAUAACUAGUUUACCUUAACCGCAGAUGACCAACUGUAUUGCUCCUUAAGUGAGUUAUACAACGCACCUAACCGUUCAACUUCAUCAGAUGUAUAUUGACCUUUUUCAGAAUAUAAACCAAGGCACUUUUGCAGGCCCAUAAAAUACCUGAAUAAAUAUAAGUAACAACAAACAGUAAAUUAUGAGCUAUCACUUUCAUACUACUGCUUCCCAAGAGCAUGCUUGAUUAUUUUUGUAGCUUUAAACCUAGCAACUUCAGUCCUUUGACAGUUCCACUUCAUAGAGCAAUAUUGUGCAUAUUUAUAUAACAAUUAAAGUAGAACUACUGUAACAGUAACAACUGAAAAAAGAAUUUCAAGCUUGAGCACCAACUGCUGACAAGAGCUUUACAAGACCAUGUUACAAGUUUCCCUUCUCUACAAGUGAAGAUGAAAAAACCAUCCAUGGAAUGAGAUGACUGCUUCAUAGAAAUAUAUAUCAUGUCAUAGAAAGCCAACUAUUGACCGCAGAUGACUGAUUGGACCAAGGUUCGCCAUACCACUCUAGUACAAUGUCAGUACACUUGGUAUGGGAGUUGGUUUGGCACUCGGUAGUCGGUGCGCCCCCUAUCAGCAUAGUACUAGAAUAGUAUGGUGUGCCAAGUAUAGGACAAUAUGCACCAAUAUGGAGAACCAUGGACUAGACUCACGCACACAAAAUGUUUCUCAAAAAGCAUUGUUUAUGCACUUGGUUCUAAAGUACCUUAAAGCAAGGAUUUAGAUAAAACGGGAUGUCCCACAGGACACCGAAAUAGGAUACCAUCCCAUGUGUUGGGAUGGGUCUAUUCCACUAACAUCCUGAUCGGAAUGUCUGGGAACAUUCCCUAUCCCAAGUGUCAGGACGAGGCGAGAUUGUGGCACGUCCCGUUCCAUGGAGAAAACGGGAACAGACCUAUCCCAUAAGAUUUAAAACCUUGCCUUUAAGGUAAUUCAACUAUUCCACUAGUACUCGCACUGAGAGACACUAUAACUGGUUCAUGCUGGUUUUCAAACAGAAUACUGUCCUUCCAACCCUAUUGUCUUAUUGGAGCCAAUAUGCUGGGUGUGUUAUCCAUCUUUUCUUAAAGAAAAUCUAAUGUGCCCAAUAUGCAAAUUUCUCAAUUACCAGUUAGUUUUAUCCUUACACUCACAAGUUUAACCAAUAAAGGCAAAAAAAAACUGCACAAGUACCGAAGGUGCACAGGAUCUACAUUAUCUAAUUGCCAUGACAGAUAUAUGAUUUAUGUUCACACAACUGGUUACAUGAUUUGAUUUGGUCAAUCCAUCUGAUGAUGAUUUUAGGUAAAUACUUGAAGAGCAUGUCAGGGGCAAAAAAUAUAACAUUCCAGACUUUUAGUAGAUCCAAUUAAUAGUCAAGGCAAGUCAGUCAUACAUGAUACCCCAACUAAAAUCAUUAAAAGGCAUAAGAAAGAGAAAUUAGAGGUAUUAUUGACAAUUUAGUCUCUGAUUGGCAAAGAAGCAGCAUGCAAUGGUGAAAACUCUUGCAAAUAAACAUAAGGAUUUCACCUUCUUCUAUAUGAUGAUUGGUCACAACAUUAAAAAAAAAAACUAAGAAUACCGUCAGCAGGAUCAAUUAGUGCCAAAAAUAGCUAAAUUGAUAAAGGCACUUAGCAACAGUUCAAAAUUGAUUAAAUUUCAUAAAAUAAAAAAUAAAAAAAAGCAAAAGUAGAUUUUAUUGCAUGAUAAGUAAAAGUAAGAACAUUCUUAUAAUACACAACAAUUCCAUGAAAAAGGAUCGAAAAACAACAUUUCAUCCAUUCAGGUUGAGUUAAUUUUAAUUAGUUGAAUCAACAAUUAAAAGUUCACAUCAACUUGAAGCAAAAAAUAACCAAACAGCUUACCUAUAAUUGUCAGAAUUCAUAAAGAGCAGAGACCUAUAUAUUUUUUCUCCUUCCUCUAGGCGACCAAGAUUUGCUAGCAUCGAAGCCAUUUGUUCCUUGAAUGCUAAUUUAUCAACCUGAUGGAUUGUGAGAAAAAAGUAUGAACAAAAAAGCAGAUAACAAAAAGAUGCUGUGGCAACUGCUAUUUCCUAUAAGUGAAAUGACUAAUAUGCAACAAUGUUGUCUUUUCUGUUAAACAUAUUCACUCGACCUAGCAUUACACAUUCAAUAACUUAAGCAGCAUCAUGAGCACACUUACAAUUUUAGGCUCUUUCUUGUGCAUCUCCUCAAGCGCUUUGUCAAGCCGCCCACAUUCCUCUAACAAAGAUAUCUGCACAAAAUUACUUUAGGUACAAGCAAAAAAUCCACAGGAUAACUGUGAUGAAGAAAUAAAAACCAAUGUAAGACUAAACAACCCCCCAUCCCCCCCCCCCCGCCCCCUCAACCAAAAAAAGAAAAAGAGGGAAAAAAAAAGGGAGAUCCCAGAUACAAAUAGUAUUGACAAUGCAGGAAACAAUCUACUAAAAGAUUUGUUGCUCAUUAAAGAUUAAUUCCAUUUAACAGAAAGCUUUCUGAAAAGCUUCUCAUCUUGUAAAUGGGCAUGUGUGUUAAGUUUUGCAUCUCAGGUUAUCCAAGAUCACUGCAAGUUGUCAUGGAAGGAUGUUCUGCAGCAUCUUCAACUUUUAACUUCAUAAUUAAGUAUGUUAGUUUAAGUGUUUAAUUAACAUAGAUGGUAUGCAUCAAAAAUUGACUCUGAUUCUUCUAAGUUGACAUGAACAUGUUAGCAUUCUAACACAUUGAAUGAGCUGGUUAACAAAACCAAAAUUCUCUCAUACUAUUAAAUAAUUGCAUAUCAAUUUCCCACUCUCACACGUCUGCCUUCCUAAAUCCUUCUUAAAAAUCCCUACUCUAACAGACUGAACAAUGUCCAGCCCACCUCACCAAAGGUUGGAGUUUUUAUUAAGUUCCUCAAGGUGAUCCUCAUAAACCAAAUGACAACGUCCUUUUAUUUUUCAGGAAUUUCACCAUUAAUUGCCAAAGCUAUGUGAUUCUGAAUGUGCGAAAUAUGACCUACCCAUAGCAUGGAGUUCUUCUAAUCUUCAAAGUUAAUUUCAGAUUCAUCACACCUUUUCACAAGCCUAACCCACCAGAUAAACAACCACAAGCUACAAUCUACAUAAUAAAUUUCCUUUUUGUUUUUCCAAGAUGAACCUUCCAUUAGCAAUGUUUCCAACUUUAGUAUUCACCAUUAUUCCCUGCAAGAUACCAUGGUUCAUGCUACUUGAUCCAGAGAGAGAUAAAAUUGGUUUGAUAGAUGGUUUUACUAUUGUAUCUAUUUGAAAUCAAAUUUUGAUGUGCAAUAAUGAAAAUUUUAAUUCAAUUUGCAAUAAACCAAAAAAAAAACAAAACAAAUUCGCCCCAAAAACCAGAACAAUGUAGAUACACCCUCUUUUUCAUGGCAUCAUGCACGUGCAAUGUGCUAAAAAGAAUGUUACCCAGUUAUAGUCCAAGCAAUCUGGGGUCCUUGAAGGAGUGAAUUGGGGACACUUCUAACCAAGGUCCGUAAUCCCCGUAUGGGUCAGCAUGGUAUAGUACAGAUCAGUACAAUACCAUACACACUCGUACCAAAAUUGGUCUCCUGACAUUUUUCUUACUUUUUAUCUCAAUAGAGGUUGGUGCGCACUUUGGUACGACUCAAUAUGUUCGAUACGAGUAUGCCUAGAUAUGGAUCAAUACAAGUCGAUACGGGGCCUAUACCAAUCCAAAAAUAAUUUUUAAAAAAAUUCCAACCCGGUACAGUCUGGUAUGCCCCGUACUAGGCAGUUCAAGGUGGCAUAACAAUCCAUGGUCCUAACCUUUGGCUUUUCUUGGGCACAAAAUGCAACCCUAGAACUCAAGCCCAUGCCAUUGUGCUUGUCAGUCCAAGCGUUUUACAAUCAAGGUUUAAAUCUUGUGGUACGGGGCUAUCUUAAUUUUUCUAUGGAAUGAGAUGUACUGCCGUCCUAACACUUAAGGUAGGAAAGUCCUAAGGCAUGCCGAUCAGGGUGCUAUAACAAUGGCAGGACUGUCAUGUCCCAACACUAGGGAGGGUACCAUAUUCCAGUGUCCCGCGGGACAUCCCAUCAAAACUUGAGUCCUUGUUUAUAAUUGCCCCAAGCAAUGACCCUCUACUUGUGCACUGUGCUAAUAGCUAAAAUCUUGCUUGUACCAAAAUGCUAGUGAGCCUACAAUAAUGUGAGAAUUAUUAUCUAUGCUGUUACUUUCUUUUGUUU
rnacentral:lncRNA from 1 species